GUUCACGGUAGCCGAGUAGGUAAGGCGCCUAUAGUCAUUUACUCGGUACCGAAAAUCGAUGGUUCAAUUCCAUCUUGGAGCA